rnacentral:rRNA from 1 species
GACGAACGCUGGCGGCGUGCUUAACACAUGCAAGUCGAACGGAAAGGCCCUGCUUUUGUGGGGUGCUCGAGUGGCGAACGGGUGAGUAACACGUGAGUAACCUGCCCUUGACUUUGGGAUAACUUCAGGAAACUGGGGCUAAUACCGGAUAGGAGCUCCUGCUGCAUGGUGGGGGUUGGAAAGUUUCGGCGGUUGGGGAUGGACUCGCGGCUUAUCAGCUUGUUGGUGGGGUAGUGGCUUACCAAGGCUUUGACGGGUAGCCGGCCUGAGAGGGUGACCGGGCACAAUGGGACUGAGAUAGGCCCCAGACUGCUACGGGAGGCAGCAGUGGAGAAUAUGGCACAAUGGGCGGAAGCCUGAUGCAGCAACGCCGCGUGCGGGAUGACGGCCUUCGGGUUGUAAACCGCUUUCGCCUGUGACGAAGCGUGAGUGACGGUAAUGGGUAAAGAAGCACCGGCUAACUACGUG